ACUCCGUAGGUGAACCUGCGGAAGGAUCAUUAUUGUAUAACCGAGGUGCGAGGGCUGUCGCUGACCCGAAAGGUCGUGCACGCCCGAGUGCCCUCACACACAUCCAUCUCACCCCUAUGUGCACCACCGCGUGGGUCCCCCUUUGGCUUGUUCGGAGGGGGGCUUACGUUUUCACACAAACUUUGUAUGCAGUGUAGAAUGUAUUUUUUGUUUUUGCGAUCACGCAAUCAAUACAACUUUCAACAACGGAUCUCUUGGCUCUC
rnacentral:misc_RNA from 1 species